rnacentral:rRNA from 1 species
GACUUGUGUGCGCCGGAUGCGGCGAUCUGCGGCCAAAAGGUCGUUGCGAUCAGCCCGUCCUGGCGCCGUAAAAUUUGCAACUGAGUCGCCUCUGGUCUUAAUUGCUCGGUGGCGUCUGCUCGGUUGCUCGUUUACUGUGAGAAAAUUGGAGUGUUCAAGGCAGGCGUGGAUUGCAACUGAACAUGUUAGCAUGGAAUAAUAAGAUAGGGCUCCGGCUCAUAUUUUGUUGGUUUCUAGAGCGUGGGAGUAAUGAUUGAUAGGGACAGUUGGGGGUGCUAGUAUUCAGCGGCCAGAGGUGAAAUUCAUGGAUUCGCUGAAGACUGACUUAUGCGAAAGCAUU